UACGUAGGGGGCAAGCGUUGUCCGGAUUUAUUGGGCGUAAAGAGCGUGUAGGCGGCCUGAAAGGUCAGCUGUGAAAACUCGAGGCUCAACCUCGAGACGUCGGUUGAAACCAUCUGGCUAGAGUCCGGAAGAGGAGAGUGGAAUUCCCGGUGUAGCGGUGAAAUGCGCAGAUAUCGGGAAGAACACCCGUGGCGAAGGCGGCUCUCUGGGCCAUUACUGACGCUGAGGAGCGAAAGCGUGGGGAGCGAACAGG
rnacentral:rRNA from 1 species